UCGCGUGUCUCAGAGUUUGAUCCUGGCUCAGGAUGAACGCUGGCGGCGUGCCUAACACAUGCAAGUCAACGGGGUUAGUAUGUCAGAAGUUUUCGGAUGGAAGAUAUGUAACCUAGUGGCGGACGGGUGAGUAACGCGUGAGUAACCUGCCUCAUAGCGGGGGAUAACAGAGAGAAAUCACUGCUAAUACCGCAUAAGCACACGAGGUCGCAUGGCCUAGGGUGAAAAGAUUUAUCACUAUGAGAUGGACUCGCGUCUGAUUAGCUAGUUGGCGGGGUAAAGGCCCACCAAGGCGACGAUCAGUAGCCGAUCUGAGAGGAUGGACGGCCACAUUGGGACUGAGACACGGCCCAG
rnacentral:rRNA from 1 species